rnacentral:rRNA from 1 species
UACGUAGGGUGCGAGCGUUAAUCGGAAUUACUGGGCGUAAAGCGUGCGCAGGCGGUUCGCUGUGUCCGAUGUGAAAGCCCCGGGCUUAACCUGGGAAUGGCAUUGGAAACUGGCGAGCUUGAGUGCGGCAGAGGGGGGUGGAAUUCCGCGUGUAGCAGUGAAAUGCGUAGAGAUGCGGAGGAACACCGAUGGCGAAGGCAGCCCCCUGGGUCGACACUGACGCUCAGGCACGAAAGCGUGGGGAGCAAACAGG